GAUGAAGAACGCAGCGAAAUGCGAUAAGUAAUGUGAAUUGCAGAAUUCAGUGAAUCAUCGAAUCUUUGAACGCACAUUGCGCCCGCUAGUAUUCUGGCGGGCAUGCCUGUUCGAGCGUCAUUUCAACCAUCAAGCCCUGUUUAGGCUUGUGUUGGGGCCCUGCGGUUGCCGCAGCCCCCUAAAUGCAGUGGCGGGCUCGUUGUCACUCCGAGCGCAGUAGCGUAUCUCGCUCUGGGCGUGGCGGCGGGUGCUAGCCGUGAAACACCCUCUAAGGUUGACCUCGGAUCAGGUAGGAAUACCCGCUGAACUUAAGCAUAUCAAUAAGCGGAGGA
rnacentral:misc_RNA from 1 species